rnacentral:rRNA from 1 species
UACAGAGACUGCGAGCGUUAUUCGGAUUCACUGGGCGUAAAGGGUGCGCAGGCGGCCGUGUGUGUGAGGCGUGAAAGCCCGGGGCUUAACCCCGGAAUUGCACCUCAAACUACACGGCUAGAGCAUUGGAGAGGGUAGCAGAAUUCAUGGUGUAGCAGUGAAAUGCGUAGAUAUCAUGAGGAAUACCAGAGGCGAAGGCGGCUACCUGGACAAUUGCUGACGCUCAGGCACGAAAGCGUGGGGAGCGAACAGG